AUGCUGAAACCCUAUAGGAAACCUUAUGCCUAUGGGAAACUCCUAUGGGUGACUCCCUUCAGGGGAACCUUGCGCCCACGGACGACUCCUUUUGAGGUAUAUGCUGGAAUCAUUCAAGUAUCCUUGCUUCUACGAGCAAAUCCCUUCAGGCUAUAUGCUGGAACACUUCAAGGUAUCCUUGCACAUAAAAGCAACUCCCUUCGUGGUACUAUCAAACAAAUUCACAAAUGA